GUAAUCGCUAUUGACCCACCAUUAGCGGUAGGUACAUUACGGGGACACCAGUGAGGAGAGGUUACGGUAGAAACCGUAAGGUUACGGUAAUAACCGUAACUCCGCCCUCUACAUCCAACAUGGCUACUAUAAUAACAAAAAGCAACGAUGAAGCUCAAAAAAUGAUUUUACAACUUGAAACUUAAAACAGUGGCCGAUUUGUGGCAAGGAAAAAAUGAGAAGAAUGGUGUAAGCUGGGCUACGAGCUCUGGACUGAUCAGCUGAUGCGCAUAUGAUGAGGCUUUAGAAAAAAAAUGGAAGGAAAUAUCUAGCCGUACAGCUAGCCAAAGUCCAAGCCAUAUAGAGCUGAACAAGUUUGGUUGAAAAUCAUGGAUGAUUCUAGCAAUUGUCAUCAAGGAACUUCUGGUAACUGUUAAGUUUGGUUAUGAAACUAUCAACUAACCACUUCCAAAACAAAUUGCUUAUUUGUGGAUUUUAGGAUUUCUAGGUCUGGUUGGGUAUACAGUAUGGAAGUUUUAUAUUAAGCGGAUGUGAAAAACCAAAUCAAGGGUAAUGGAUGACACCAUCAAUUAAACAGAGCAGAAAUAUAGCACAACUCUAACAAUAAUGACAAUAGUGUACACACACACACAAGAAAUCGAUCAGCUUGAAAUUAAUGGAUUUUUAGCAGUUUUAGAUUUUUUUAAGUUACAGUUUGUUUCAUAUGUAAAUGAUGUUUUAAAUAUUAGUCAGAACUGCUUCAUUCCAUUGUUAUAAGGUAUAUGUUGUAAAAUUUUGCUAUUGUAAAAUUUAUUACCUGUUUAAAUAACUCUAAUUAUCACAUAAACCACGGCACAUGAGUGUAAUAAAGCCAUUUAAUAAAUCAAUAUUACUCUAGUGUAAUAACACUUUGUCAUGACGUCAUAGAGUUAUUGCGCGCUAAUGUUAGCGUUACACUAAAGGCACGUCAAUGAAAAUGACUCAUUUUAACUAUAAGCCGUUCUCUUUUUGGGUAUGUGAUAAAUAGAAUAUUCGUAUAGGUUCCAUACUAAAUUUAUUGAAAAGUUGAAUAAAACAAUAUUAUGCUCGCCAGAGGCUCGUAUAAUAUGAUUUUAUUCAACUCGUUCAAUAAAUUUAGUAUUAAACCUUAGUAACAUGUACACUCAUCCAAUAUCCUCUAUUUAGGAUGCUUUUUACUGAAAGUAGCUUGUUUUUAUACUGUAAAUUAAAACUAAUAUUCAUGCUAUUGAUAUAUUUUUUUAAGAAACCUCUUUAAAGUUAAAGUAAUGAUAUAUGUACUUACAAAAAAUCAAAUCCUAUUUAUUAUUAAAAAUUUUAGCUCUUUAUAUAUAUUGAUAGAAGUUAAAAUUGUAGCUGUUUAACCAUUUAUUUUUUUUUUGAUACUGGAGACAGAUAAUGUGUAACAAUCGUAAUUAUUAUAUUUCUUUUUUGUGUGUGUUCUGACAACAGUUUUUGUGCAUGCAGCAGUCUGUCCAUCUGUUAGCUGGCAAAUGUAAGCUUCAAUAUACAAAUACUGUAGUAUUAUGUUUUGUGCAAGGUCAUUGUCCAAAGGUCAAGGUUAGACUUGGGGAUAUAUUUGGAUAACUUACUGUAAAAUUCAAUUUUACCAUAUGAGAAAUUUUAUAUUGGCAUGAUAUAACUGUAAAUACAUUGUAAACAUACUAGAUCAACACCAAAUUGAACAUUUUGUCACCUCAGUGCAGUAGCAGAUUAACCCAUUACUGCAUUAAUGAUAAAUUGGUGUAUUCUGUAAAAGAUUUUGUGCUACUUCAAUGUAUUUCUGUUAUAAAUAUAAACACAUACUCACAGAUUCAAACAUAUUCAAAGAAUAGGUAACUAAAUGGUCAAUUAAACAACAUUUUCAGACACCCCAAUUACAAUGAGAUGUAAUAUUUAGCCAAAACUGUAGGUAGUAAAUAAGAUAUAUAAGGACAUAAUGUGAUAUAAUAGUCGCUCACCAAUGUAGGUAGGUAUAAUUAAUUAGAUAUUUCAAGACUAAAUAGUUUGUAAUAGUUGCCCACCAGUGUAGGUAGGUAUUAGUAAUAAGAUAUUUCAAGACUAGAUAGUUUGUAAUAGUGGCCCACCAGUGUAGGUAGGUAUUUAUAAUGAUGUAGAGUAAGGUUGAAUAAGAUUUUAAUAGUGGCCCACCAGUGUAGGUAGGUGUUAAUGAUUAGAAAUUUCAAGACUAGAUAGUUUGUGAUAGUGGCCCACCAAUGUAGGUAGGUAUUUAUAUUGAGGUAAAUAUUAAGGUUAAAUAAGGUUUAAUAGUGGGCCACCAGUGUAUGUAGGUAUUAAUAAAAAGAUAUUUCAACACUAGAUAGUUUCUAAUAGUGACCCACCAGUGUAGGUAGGAAUUUAUAAUUACAUAUUUCAAGACUAGAUUGUUUGUAAUAGUGGCCCACCAGUGUAGGUAGGUAUUUAUAAUUAGAUAUUUCAAGACUAGAUUAUUUGUAAUAGUGGCCCACCAGUGUAGGUAGGUAUUUACAAUAAGAUAUUUCAAGACUAGAUAGUUUGUAAUAGUGGCCCACCAGUGUAGGUAGGUAUUUACAAUAAGAUAUUUCAAGAUUAGAUAGUUUGUAAUAGUGGCCCACCAGUGUAGGUAGGUAUUUAUAAUAAGAUAUUUCAAGACUAGAUAGUUUCUUCUAG